UCCAAGUGAUCGUCUAUUAGAUUGGUGCAAAAGUAAUUGCGGUUGUUGCCACUGAAAGUAAUGGCAAAACCGCAAUGACUUUUGCACCAGUCUAGUAGCUAUACU
rnacentral:miRNA from 10 species